rnacentral:rRNA from 1 species
AGUAACGCGUGGGUAACCUGCCCUUGAAUCUGGGAUAACUUCGCGAAAGCGUUGCUAAUACUGGAUAAAGUUCUUAAGGCGGUGGUUUUAGGGAUGGAAGGUGACCUCUCUAUAGAAGUUGCCGUUCAAGGAUGGGCCCGCGUACCAUUAGCUAGUUGGUGGGGUAAUGGCCUACCAAGGCGACGAUGGUUAGCUGGUCUGAGAGGAUGAUCAGCCACACUGGAACUGGAACACGGUCCAG